GCUGGGCAUGGUGGUGUGUGCCAGUAGUUCCAGCUACUUGGGAGGCUGAGGCAGGGGAAUCACUUGAGGCCAGGAGUUCAAGGUUGCCGUGAGCCAUGAUGGUGCCACUGCACUCUAGCCUGGACAACAGAGUGAGAUCCUGUCUCUA
ensembl:misc_RNA Metazoa_SRP Metazoan signal recognition particle RNA